rnacentral:rRNA from 1 species
AAUGAACGUUGGCGGCAUGGAUUAGGCAUGCAAGUCGAGCGCGAUGUGUAGCAAUACACGGAAAGCGGCGGAAGGGAGAGUAAUACGUGGGAAUCUGCCCUUAGACCUGGGAUAGCAGCGGGAAACUGCUGGUAAUACCAGAUAACGUCUAUGGACCAAAGGUGUGAUUCCGUCUAGGGAUGAGCCCACGUCCUAUUAGCUAGUUGGUAGGGUAAUGGCCUACCAAGGCGAUGAUGGGUAGCGGGUGUGAGAGCAUGACCCGCCUCACUGGGACUGAGACACUGCCCAGACACAUACGGGUGGCUGCAGUGGAGAAUCUUCGGCAAUGGGCGCAAGCCUGACCAAGCGAUGCCGCGUGCGGGAUGAAGGCCUUCGGGUUGUAAACCGCUGUCGAGGGGGAGCAACUUCCAUAGAGUUAUCUUUAUGGAUUGAGUGAUCCCUGGAGGAAGGACGGGCUAAGUUCAUGCCAGCCGCCGCAGUAACAC